CACGUAGGAGGCGAGCGUUAUCCGGAUUUACUGGGCGUAAAGCGCGUGUAGGCGGUUUGGUAAGUUGGAUGUGAAAUCUCCUGGCUCAACUAGGAGAGGUCGUUCAAUACUACCAGACUAGAGGACGGUAGAGGAAGGUAGAAUUCCCGGUGUAGUGGUGAAAUGCGUAGAUAUCGGGAGGAAUACCAGUGGCGAAGGCGGCCUUCUGGGCCGUUCCUGACGCUCAGACGCGAAAGCGUGGGUAGCGAACGGG
rnacentral:rRNA from 1 species